rnacentral:pre_miRNA from 1 species
UUGUCGGAGUAGAUACUCAAUGGCUUGCCGCGGGUCGCAGCGAAGCGACGCAGUACAAGUAGGAAGUCAUCCGUCGACAAGGU